GUGGAUUUAUAUGCAAUAAUCAGACAAUUUCUUUAAAGAAUUAGGGAUAAGAUAAGAGACAAGGCAUUGUUUAUCCCUAUUACGAGAAUAUGAGGACAUUAUUACAGAAAAUAAUGGAAGAGUGAGACGAUCUGCACCAGCUUCCUAGAUCCAUCACUGCAGUGCAUUCAGCCCAGCAGUCAAGGGAUCCAGGCUUGAAGUAUAAAUAAAUACAAAAUGAAUCAAUUUCUCCACAGGAUAUUCCUAAAGAAUUAGACCAAUGGAAUCAUUCAUGAUCAGGCAGCAAGUUAAUCCCUGAUGUAAGGAAAAUGAAUUGAUUUCAUCCACAAGAACAUGAAGUGAUGGAAAAAAAUUGCAGCACCCCAGUAUUCCUUGUACAGUCUAUCUUAAUUUGAAAAGCUGUUUAUGAAAUAAAAUUUCUUCAUAAAAAAUAAUUUGACUUUUUCAUAUUCAUGUACUUACUGUACAGGUGUUGAAAAGGCUAUUAAGAUUUGAUGGUCUUGACUUGCAUAUAUUUGUGUGGUGCCAGGCUGUCAAUGUCCAUCAAGAUUUUUU